GGGCGAUUAGCUCAGCGGGAGAGCGCUUCCCUGACACGGAAGAGGUCACUGGUUCAAUCCCAGUAUCGCCCAC
rnacentral:tRNA from 2 species